AGAAGCAUUUCUUUUCAGUUAUCAACAGGAUAUGUACGUGCCACUCAGAAUUAGGCUUUUUUACUCCUAGCUCCUUGCAAAGAAACAAGAGUGCUUGUCCGGCCUGAACUCCAGGUACCAAUAAAAGAAUGAAGAUGGCUUGGUACAAUUGCCAUCCUAUCUCACUUAAGAUGCUGUAUCUCAAAGAAUUUGAUAGAAACAAUCUGAUAUGGUGAGAAAUGCAUUGAGUAAGAGGCCUAAAAAUCUUUCUUCUGUUUCUAACUCUACCAUAGUUUAACCCUGUGACCUUGAACAAAGUACUAACUCUUUCUAGAUACAUCUCUUUAUCAACUAAAACUAGGUAGGGUUAUCACCAUUAUCUCUCCUACUUAACUUACAGGGAUUAUGCUGUGCUAACAUAAAAGUUAUUAACCACCUGUAACAUUAACUUUAAUUCUUAGGGAGAGAGACCAUGGCAGACGAUCCUGUAUUUUCUAUAGAACCUAGCACAGGGUUCCUAGGAUGGAACCUAUUGAAUAUAUGCUGAUUGAGUGAUGGGCUUUGACAUAGCCAAGUACUCAAAAAUCCAUGGAAUAAAAUAUUUUAUCCCAUACACAGAUAAGAAAUGAUUUGCUGAUGAGAUGAGGUAGGUAUGCCCAUAACAGAAUGGCAACUAGCAACAACCAAAGUUUGAGUAGCCCUUGAAAGCAGAUCACAAGUACUACUCUCUUUCUGAGGUCCAAAUAACAGCAUUGAUGAUACUCUAAGAUCUUGAGUUGUGCUGGUUUCUACUUAUAAAAACAGGUAACCAGUAUAUCUGAUCACCUGUAAUUUUAAAAUUUAUUCUUUUGCUCUUA